rnacentral:rRNA from 1 species
UACAGAGGGUGCAAGCGUUGUUCGGAAUUAUUGGGCGUAAAGGGAGUGUAGGUGGCUUGGAAAGUCUUGUGUGAAAUCUUUGGGCUUAGCCUAAAACGUGCAUAAGAAACUGCCUCGCUAGAGUACUGGAGAGGAUAGUGGAAUUCCCGGUGUAGAGGUGAAAUUCGUAGAGAUCGGGAGGAACACCAGUGGCGAAGGCGGCUAUCUGGUCAGUAACUGACACUGAAACUCGAGAGCACGGGGAGCAAACAGG